rnacentral:RNase_P_RNA from 1 species
ACGGCAAAUCAGUCUAUCGCUUUUCAUUUGAAAAGAGGAAAGUCCGGGCAGCAAAGAGCAACGUACUUCCUAACGGGAAGGGUUGCAACCAGCGACGGUUGCAAUACAGCAAGUGCCACAGAAAAAAAACUACCUUGGCUCGCCAAGGAAAAGGUGAAAAGGUGAGGUAAGAGCUCACCGCAACUGCAGCAAUGCAUUUGGCAGGGUAAACCUUACGUGCUGAAAGACCAAAUAUACCGAGGCCUGCGCAAGCAGAACGAGUUGCUCGCUCGUCUCGGAGGGUAGGUCGCUCGACACUACAUGUGAAUGUAGUGCUAGAUAAAUGAUAGACACCAACGCUGCGUGCAGCAAUUGGUACAGAACCCGGCUUAUGAUUUGCCAUUUUU